rnacentral:rRNA from 1 species
UUGGAAAGAGAGUCAAACAGUACGUGAAAUUGUUGAAAGGGAAGCGCUUGCAACCAGACUUGCCCGCGGGUGAUCAACCGGUAUUCUUACCGGUGCACUCGCCCGUGGUCAGGCCAGCAUCGGUUUGGGUGGCUGGAUAAAGUCCACUGGAAUGUAGCUCCUCUCGGGGAGUGUUAUAGCCAGAGGUGCCAUGCAGCCCGCCCGGACCGAGGACCGCGCUUCGGCUAGGAUGCUGGCGUAAUGGUUGUAAGCGACCCGUCUUGAAACACGGACCAAGGAGUCUAACAUCUAUGCGAGUGUUUGGGUGUCAAACCCAUGCGCGUAAUGAAAGUGAACGGAGGUGGGAACCCUCAAGGGUGCACCAUCGACCGAUCCUGAUGUCUUCGGAUGGAUUUGAGUAAGAGCAUAGCUGUUGGGACCCGAAAGAUGGUGAACUAUGCCUGAAUAGGGUGAAGCCAGAGGAAACUCUGGUGGAGGCUCGCAGCGGUUCUGACGUGCAAAUCGAUCGUCAAAUUUGGGUAUAGGGGCGAAAGACUAAUCGAACCAUCUGCUACUAGAUGGCAUACGGGCCGCGUGCCCCAGUAGUCCCCGUGCGGCGGGGGCAACAUCGUCGGUCUCUUCGGGAACGCCUCCGGGCUACCCGCAGUGAGCCUCGGGCUCAUCCACAGACUAAGUGGCGGUGGCCGUGCCCUGGAGCACAGUUAGGAUAUAGUCG